AGGAAGGCAUUUAACUGCCUUAAUCAUAUGGCCAUCCUUCUAUCUCCUGCAGUCCUGGGACUCGAUUGGAACUGAUCUUUCCUAUCUUGUGACAUUCCUAUAGAGGUGUUCCACGGACAGAGAACUGCUUCAGAGGUGAUUCCCAAGAGGAGUAUUUUCCUCUUUCGCACGGAAAAAAAUCAGGCUUUGUUUGGCCUGUGAAGGGAGUGCAGAAACAUUGAAUCCAACUACGUUAAAGCUGGGGAGAAGUAGAAGUUGCAAGAAGUUGGAGCAGAGAUGUAACAUGGAAAUAGCUUGAAGUAUGGCAGUAUUUUGUAUUCCCAAGAAAGGACCUGUUUCAGCUAUUGAAGUAUUAACUGUGUCAAUAAUGGGCCUUACUGGCUCUAAUUGGACUCAUCUAGCUUUUUAUCAGCAUUCUCUGCCCGUGAGCCCAGAAGCUGCACUUCAGCUUUUCUCAUAGUUCUGAAAGUCAUUUAUUGCUUCUGAUUCAGGACAUCGGCUGGUCACCAGCAGUGAUGAGGAAGGAACCAUCUGUAAGUACAUUAAAGUUCCAUUGCAAAUGGGAAACUGUGGAGUGGGACAGUGGAGAAUUGGUGGAGUCUGUGCCUUGUCCAUGCCAAACAUCGGAAUUGAGCUGGAGCAUGAGGGAUGAGGAAGAUAACUUAUUGCUCAGAUUUUACAUCCCAGUGAUUUGAGAAGUUGCAUUCAAAACAUGAGACUUAUGCUCCUCCUAGAACACAAUUUUUGUCAAUGUUGUUUCAAGAAAAAACGACCAGUUGCUCCAUCUGUCAGUAAGCCUCUUCCAAGGAGAAGGAAAUAUCAACACUCAACACAAAAUGAGAUUGCCCUUUGAAAGCAAAAAGACUUAGAGGCACAAAGCUCAUUAUGUGUAACAGACCACGUUGUCCAUCAUAACAAAGGACUAAAAAAGUGAAGACAAACCAGCACAUACAAGAAGAUCAUAGGACAAUGUCAGUUACAUAGGCUUGUCUCCUGCACACUAGGAGAUGAAUCAUCAUCAGUGGUUUUGGGGAAGAUAUUUAGACAUUAUAGCAAAGAGCCUGAACCUCUGAUUGAUCACCUGAGGCGAGCACUGAGUCAGCCAGAGGAGCACAGCUGAAGGCAAUUCCCCCGUGCUGCCGGAAGGGCUGGAGCCUGACUCCACCUCUCCUAGACCCAUUUAAGAGCUGGCUACCAGUGGGGAAGGAUCUCUUUUGGAGAUUGUCUCUACUGGUGUUUUGUGGGUGAGCCCAGGAUAAGGGUAAGCCUUCCAUUUGUUCUCCCUUCCAUUUGUCCUCUUUUGUUAUCAUGGUCUACUUCACCUAACUCUCUUGUUUAUUUUGUGAUUAUAGCAUCCUAAUAUUCUCUGAUUAUACACCUGCAUUCUCUUCUCAUUUUUACAAUUUAAGCUGUUACUGUUUUUGAUUGUAAAGGCUUCUUCGAUUUUUUCAGUGUAUUCAGAAUUCAAGAACACUUUUCACACGAAGAAUUUAACUAGGUUUCCCACAAACUAGUUAUUUUUUUUAUCCUCUUUUUUCUUCACUGUAACCCCUGUUGUUAGCUUUUCUCAAUCUAUCUGAGAUAUCAUUGAAGGUUUUUUGGAAAUGGAAUACUUAUAUAAAUGUAACAUUAUUUUCUUUGUUGAAAUGACAAAUAAAAAGAAUGGAAAAAUCUUGAUCAACCAUUACUUGGAAAAUCUGUGUCUGAACUUUGAAUCUUCUUAGUAUAUAUUGACCAAAAAAGCCUUAAAUCAUCUAUUCCUUCUGUGUUCUAGACUUGUGGCCAGUUAUCACUGUAACUGGAACCUGAAACAAGUUGCCUUGAUAGAAGUUGUGAACUAGUUUAGUGCUCUGCAUUUACAGUUGAUGGUUUUCAUAGGCACUUCAGUUCCUCAGGUUUAAAACACCUGAAUGCCAGUACUAAUUUUGUUUUUAUGGUGGUGAGAUUGAGAUUAAAAAAAAAAAAGUAUUCUCAGUAUUUAUUGAAUCUUAAAGGCUGCA